CCUACGGGUGGCAGCAGUGGGGGAUAUUGCACAAUGGGGGAAACCCUGAUGCAGCGACGCCGCGUGUGGGAAGACGGUCUUCUGGAUUGUAAACCACUGUCCCCAGGGACGAAAAUGACGGUACCUGGGGAGUAAGCUCCGGCUAACUACGUGCCAGCAGCCGCGGUAAUACGUAGGGAGCAAGCGUUGUCCGGAAUUACUGGGUGUAAAGGGAGCGUAGGCGGGGAUGCAAGUUGGGUGUCAAAACUACCGGCUCAACCGAUAGUCGCACUCAAAACUGCAACUCUUGAGUGAAGUAGAGGCAGGCGGAAUUCCUAGUGUAGCGGUGAAAUGCGUAGAUAUUAGGAGGAACACCAGUGGCGAAGGCGGCCUGCUGGGCUUUUACUGACGCUGAGGCUCGAAAGUGUGGGGAGCAAACAGGAUUAGAUACCCGGGUAGUC
rnacentral:rRNA from 1 species